rnacentral:rRNA from 1 species
CCAGUAGCGUAUAUUAAAGUUGUUGCAGUUAAAAAGCUCGUAGUUGAAUUUCGGGAUCAGUACGCUGGUCGUGCCUUCGGUAUGUACUGGUGUUACUGGUUCCUACCUUCUGACGAACCGUCAUGUCAUUAAUUUGGUGUGGCGGGGAAUCAGGACUGUUACUUUGAAAAAAUUAGAGUGUUUAAAGCAGGCUCGCGCUUGAAUACAUUAGCAUGGAAUAAUGAAAUAGGACGUAGAUCCUAUUUUGUUGGUUUCUAGGAUUGACGUAAUGAUUAAUAGGGAUAGUUGGGGGCAUUAGUAUUCAAUUGUCAGAGGUGAAAUUCUUGGAUUUAUUGAAGACUAACUACUGCGAAAGCAUUUGCCAAGGAUGUUUUCAUUAAUCAAGAACGAAAGUUAGGGGAUCGAAGACGAUCAGAUACCGUCGUAGUCUUAACCAUAAACUAUGCCGACUAGGGAUCGGAUGAUGUUAAUUUUUUAAUGACUCAUUCGGCGCCUUACG